CUUGCAUGACCGUCACUUCACAGCAGGAUGUUCCCCUUAAUAGGGGCACCUCUCAAGGUUACUCCACGAGUUUGAGACACUCCUUGCUCCAACAGAUCCUUAGUCUCAGGAUGGGAACCUGUUUUUGCUCCUGUUGGAUGUACUUUCCCUACACAAUGCAUCUAGAAGUAAGAAAUACAAGUCACUGCCUUGAAGUAAUAGAGUCUGCUUUACUGCUGGGAUGUGAGUGACCCAGGCAUUCAGGAAGAUGCAGCAACAGAACUAAGGUUAAAACUUCCUGCCACAUAACCUUAACUCCAUGUAGAAGUAAUAUUUUAACAGUGAAACCCUUUACCAAGCUCUUCCAACAUUGCUCCAUUCUUGUUCUCAGAAGAAUCUUCUUAUCUGACUGCUCUGUUGCUCUGUUACUGAAAUGUUUAAGUGUUUGCUUAGUGAGACAGGUGAGCUGCCGUGAUAAUUCUGUUUUUUACAUACUUUGUUUUGGGAAGAGGUGCCAGCCAUGCUAGCUGAUACAGAUUGCUCUGCAAGCUUGAGGGAAGAAGGGUGUCAUUAAAAUACCCAUCCAGACAAAUCCACUAAUUUCCUGAUGACUUCCAGAAACUGUUCAUACUCUACUGUUCCUCAGCUGUCAUCAAAAUAUGGGCAGAAAUUUAGAUGUAUAUAUUUAUUUACAGAAUAUGAAAUAGGGAGCACCAAAAUCCUCUAUUACUGUGCCCACCAAGAAAUCCUGUAUAAAUACUAGUGGUCAGGUUGGUCAUUGGAUUUGUAUUUGGGAACAAAUUUUUCUAUACUCUGCACUGCCAGGGAUGUCAAAAUUUGUCAAUUGUUUUGUACAUUGGCUUUUAUUUUAAUGACACCAAAUCAAUAUAUUCCUUUUAACAUGUUUACAUCCUUUCAGGAGCUUAAGACUGUUUUAUCUAAACAUUUCCUUUCUGAAAGCAGUCCCCUACAAUUGUACCAGAGGUCUGUGAUGUUAAAUAUUACUGAUUAAUAGCAAGAGGUUGGAGGAAGAUGAGAGCUUUUAAUAUGAAAGUGGACAUAGAUAUUUUGAUUAUACCUUCUGGCAUACAACUCUGUAUAACAUUUCUUCUUCACCCCUUUCUCAUACAAUAAAUAAAAUAGAUCAUCAGGAACAUUUGAAAGAAACAAAACUCUUAGGUCAUGACUCCCACUUGACUUGUGCUUAUUAUCUGUUCUGGAUAAGCUUAUUCUCAUUUAAAUAGUUCUCAUAUAAGUGGCUUUGUGCACAACUUCCAGACUCCUACUUGAAGCUACAGUUAACAUUUUGAGUCACUCUAGACAUAUCUUUGACUAUUCCUGUAAUGUUUGUUUUCUUUUUCUUCUUCUUUUCUUGGUUUUUUGUUUUGGUUUUUGUUUGGUUUUUGUUAUUGUUGUUUGUUUUGUUGUUAAGCUGGUUGGUUGUUUUGGAGUUUUGGUUUUUUGUUUGUUUGUUUUGUUCUGGUUUGUUUUUCUUUUCUAAUAUAUCUGAUACACAUAUUUUGUGCCUCAACUGUCUGCUGCCCAUGAUUUGGAGAGGAAAAUAAUUUUUGUUUUACAUCUGUAAAGGCCGUCUAAAGUAGAGAUGCCAAAAUUUAAAAUUGGUAUUCUGCCUAUAGAAUCAUAGGAUUGCUAAGGUUGGAAAGUACUUCAAAGAUUAUGUCCAACCAUUAAUGUGACACUGCCGUCUUCACCACUAAACAUAUUCCCAAGUACCACAUCUAGACAUUCCUCAAACAUUUCCAGAGAUUGUUAUUCUACCACUUCCCUGGGCAACCUAUCUCCAUGCUUGACCACCCUUUCGGUUAAGAAAUUUUUCCUAAUAUGCAAUCCAUCCAAGACUGAUCCUCUUCAAGAGCCAUUUGAUGUCACUCUAAACAAUCUGCUUCAUAACCUUUCCCAGCAACAAGAUCAGACUGACAGGCCUGUAAUUCCCUGUAAUUCCCUCCUUCUGGGCAUUCUUGUAGAUUGGCCUCACAUUUUCUCAUCUCCAAUCACCUGCAGUCUUCCUGGUUAGCCAGGUCUGCUGGUAAAUGAUUGAAAGUGGCUUGGUGAGCUCUCCCAGCAGCUCUGUCUGUACUUUUGGAUGGAUGCAAUCCAGACCCAUGGAAUUUUGUGUAUCUAAGUAGUGUAGCAGGUCACUGACUGUUUCCACUUGGAUUAUGGGGUCUUCAUUCUGCUCCCUGUCCCUGUGAUAAUUUAUCUUAAAAAGACAAAUGGAGUUACCUUUCAUUCAUAUUCUGCUUUUUUUGCAGACAUGAUAUUUACAUAAAUACUCUUUAAAAAAUUUUAAAUUUGUCUUCAUCAGAUUUUUUUUACAUUUCAAUAAGGAUUAAUCUUUAUUUCUCACCUCUUUGUCCUGAAUUUAGAGUCUUGCAAACUUGUUUGCUGCUACAGAUAUCAGGAUAUGUAGCAAUUACUAUUAUGAACAACCUUCCUUUUUCCUCUUACAAAGCUUGAGUGCCCCUUGGCAAGGUCUCUGCAUUCAAAAUAUUAUUCAACACAAAGUGAACUUGAUUAUCUAUUACUUAAAAGCUUGUAGAGUCAUUUCUACUUCUGCAUAGUCUGUAUAAUGUCCUGAAUUAGUUUUCAUAAUUUUACAGGGAAUAUAUUCACACAGGGAAUAGAUUGUGCCACAGAUAAAAUAUGUUUAAUACAGACAAUAGAAAAUUUUUCUAAGCUCUAAGCAUUAAAAACUGAAAUGAGUAA